UACGGGGGGCAAGGCGUUGUUCGGAAUUACUGGGCGUAAAGGGCGCGUAGGCGGCAGACAAGUCGAGCGGUUAAAUUCCAAGGCUUAACCCUGGGCUGUUGCUCGAUACUAGUCGGCUAGAGUGUGGAAGAGGGUGCUGGAAUUCCGGUGUAGCGGUGAAAUGCGUAGAUAUCGGGAGGAACACCAGUGGCGAAGGCGGGACACUGGGCUAACACUGACGCUAUGCGCGAAAGCUAGGGAGCAACAGGG
rnacentral:rRNA from 1 species